rnacentral:rRNA from 1 species
UAAUGGGUCAGCGACUUAUAUUCUGUAGCAAGGUUAACCGUAUAGGGGAGCCGAAGGGAAACCGAGUCUUAACUGGGCGUUAAGUUGCAGGGUAUAGACCCGAAACCCGGUGAUCUAGCCAUGGGCAGGUUGAAGGUUGGGUAACACUAACUGGAGGACCGAACCGACUAAUGUUGAAAAAUUAGCGGAUGACUUGUGGCUGGGGGUGAAAGGCCAAUCAAACCGGGAGAUAGCUGGUUCUCCCCGAAAGCUAUUUAGGUAGCGCCUCGUGAAUUCAUCUUCGGGGGUAGAGCACUGUUUCGGCUAGGGGGUCAUCCCGACUUACCAACCCGAUGCAAACUGCGAAUACCGAAGAAUGUUAUCACGGGAGACACACGGCGGGUGCUAACGUCCGUCGUGAAGAGGGAAACAACCCAGACCGCCAGCUAAGGUCCCAAAGUCAUGGUUAAGUGGGAAACGAUGUGGGAAGGCACAGACAGCCAGGAUGUUGGCUUAGAAGCAGCCAUCAUUUAAAGAAAGCGUAAUAGCUCACUGGUCGAGUCGGCCUGCGCGGAAGAUGUAACGGGGCUAAACCAUGCACCGAAGCUGCGGCAGCGACACUAUGUGUUGUUGGGUAGGGGAGCGUUCUGUAAGCCGUUGAAGGUGUAUCGUGAGGUAUGCUGGAGGUAUCAGAAGUGCGAAUGCUGACAUAAGUAACGAUAAUGCGGGUGAAAAACCCGCACGCCGGAAGACCAAGGGUUCCUGUCCAACGUUAAUCGGGGCAGGGUGAGUCGACCCCUAAGGCGAGGCCGAAAGGCGUAGUCGAUGGGAAACAGGUUAAUAUUCCUGUACUUGGUGUUACUGCGAAGGGGGGACGGAGAAGGCUAUGUUAGCCGGGCGACGGUUGUCCCGGUUUAAGCAUGUAGGCGGAGGUUCCAGGUAAAUCCGGUACCUUUUUAACGCUGAGGUGUGAUGACGAGGCACUACGGUGCUGAAGUAACAAAUGCCCUGCUUCCAGGAAAAGCCUCUAAGCAUCAGGUAACAUCAAAUCGUACCCCAAACCGACACAGGUGGUCAGGUAGAGAAUACCAAGGCGCUUGAGAGAACUCGGGUGAAGGAACUAGGCAAAAUGGUGCCGUAACUUCGGGAGAAGGCACGCUGAUAUGUAGGUGAAGCGGUUUACCCGUGGAGCUGAAAUCAGUCGAAGAUACCAGCUGGCUGCAACUGUUUAUUAAAAACACAGCACUGUGCAAACACGAAAGUGGACGUAUACGGUGUGACGCCUGCCCGGUGCCGGAAGGUUAAUUGAUGGGGUUAUCCGUAAGGAGAAGCUCUUGAUCGAAGCCCCGGUAAACGGCGGCCGUAACUAUAACGGUCCUAAGGUAGCGAAAUUCCUUGUCGGGUAAGUUCCGACCUGCACGAAUGGCGUAAUGAUGGCCAGGCUGUCUCCACCCGAGACUCAGUGAAAUUGAACUCGCUGUGAAGAUGCAGUGUACCCGCGGCAAGACGGAAAGACCCCGUGAACCUUUACUAUAGCUUGACACUGAACACUGGUCCUUGAUGUGUAGGAUAGGUGGGAGGCUUUGAAGUGUGGACGCCAGUCUGCAUGGAGCCAUCCUUGAAAUACCACCCUUUAAUGGCUGGUGUUCUAACGUGGACCCGUAAUCCGGGUUGCGGACAGUGUCUGGUGGGUAGUUUGACUGGGGCGGUCUCCUCCUAAAGAGUAACGGAGGAGCACGAAGGUUAGCUAAUCCUGGUCGGACAUCAGGAGGUUAGUGCAAAGGCAUAAGCUAGCUUGACUGCGAGAGUGACGGCUCGAGCAGGUGCGAAAGCAGGUCUUAGUGAUCCGGUGGUUCUGAAUGGAAGGGCCAUCGCUCAACGGAUAAAAGGUACUCCGGGGAUAACAGGCUGAUACCGCCCAAGAGUUCAUAUCGACGGCGGUGUUUGGCACCUCGAUGUCGGCUCAUCACAUCCUGGGGCUGAAGUAGGUCCCAAGGGUAUGGCUGUUCGCCAUUUAAAGUGGUACGCGAGCUGGGUUUAGAACGUCGUGAGACAGUUCGGUCCCUAUCUGCCGUGGGCGCUGGAGAAUUGAGGGGGGCUGCUCCUAGUACGAGAGGACCGGAGUGGACGCAUCACUGGUGUUCGGGUUGUCAUGCCAAUGGCAUUGCCCGGUAGCUAAAUGCGGAAGAGAUAAGUGCUGAAAGCAUCUAAGCACGAAACUUGCCCCG